CAAUAGCGUAUAUUAAAGUUGUUGCAGUUAAAAAGCUCGUAGUUGGAUUUCUGGGCUCAGUCUUUGGUCCGUCGAAAGAUGUGCACUGACGACUGGGUCCUUUCCUCUCGACGUUCACGGGUGCUCUUAACUGAGUGUUCGUGGGACUCGGGACCUUUACUUUGAAAAAAUUAGAGUGUUCAAAGCAGGCCUUCGCUUGAAUACAUUAGCAUGGAAUAAUGGAAUAGGACUUGGGUUCUAUUUCGUUGGUUUUAGGACCGAAGUAAUGAUUAAUAGGGACAGUUGGGGGCAUUAGUAUUUAAUUGUCAGAGGUGAAAUUCUUGGAUUUUUUAAAGACGAACAAUUGCGAAGGCAUCUACCCAGGAUGUUUUUGUUGA
rnacentral:rRNA from 1 species